ACGGGUGAGUAACACGUAGGUAACCUGCCUAUGAGACUGGGAUAACUAUCGGAAACGAUAGCUAAGACCGGAUAACUGGUUUUCUCGCAUGAGAGAAUCAUGAAGCACGGAGCAAUCUGUGGCUUAUAGAUGGGCCUGCGGCGCAUUAGCUAGUUGGUAGGGUAAUGGCCUACCAAGGCGACGAUGCGUAGCCGACCUGAGAGGGUGAACGGCCACACUGGGACUGAGACACGGCCCAGACUCCUACGGGAGGCAGCAGUAGGGAAUCUUCCGCAAUGGACGCAAGUCUGACGGAGCAACGCCGCGUGAGUGAUGAAGGUUUUCGGAUCGUAAAGCUCUGUUGCCCUAGACGAACAGCAAGGAGAGUAACUGCUCUUUGUGUGACGGUAUAGGAGAAGAAAGCCCCGGCUAACUACGUGCCAGCAGCCGCGGUAAUACGUAGGGGCAAGCGUUGUCCGGAAUUAUUGGGCGUAAAGCGCGCGCAGGCGGUUAAUUAAGUUGGGUGUUUAAGCCCGGGGCUCAACCCCGGUUCGCAUCCAAAACUGGUUGACUUGAGUGUAGGAGAGGAAAGUGGAAUUCCACGUGUAGC
rnacentral:rRNA from 1 species